UACGAAGGGUGCUAGCGUUGUUCGGAAUCACUGGGCGUAAAGCGCGCGUAGGUUGCUUUUCAAGUCAGGGGUGAAAUCCCACAGCUUAACUGUGGAACUGCCUUUGAAACUGUAAAGCUAGAGUGUCGGAGGGGAUAGCGGAAUUCCUAAUGUAGAGGUGAAAUUCGUAGAUAUUAGGAGGAACACCGGUGGCGAAGGCGGCUAUCUGGACGACAACUGACACUGAGGCGCGAAAGCGUGGGGAGCAAACAGG
rnacentral:rRNA from 1 species